CGUGACCAUAGUUGCUGUGAUGGACAAGCAUGUCCACCAAUACUUGCUAGUCGUGACGGAGUACCGUUUCCCCUCCCCGGUGGGCGAGGACUGAGACUUCUGGGAGCUCCGGAAGGCUGUCUGUGGACGACCCGAGGAACAUGGCUUGGAUUUGUACCCUCUGUCACCUGCAGUUUUCUCAGAACCCAACAGAAGCAAAUGAAGUAGCAGCGCUGUGUGCCGGAGAGCUCUGAGAAUAUGGGUGUAAAUGUUGGUCAAUGCUCUGGGAGAGGUUGCAGUGCUGAGAGUUUUUGAGGACGCCUCCUGUCCUGUCCAGGUCUCUGCAUCUACUUCCUCCUCAGCCUUCUCUCACAUCCCGAGACUGAAUGCCUUGUCCGUGAGUUACAGCCUGCGUGUGCACUCGAAAAGGCCCAAACUCUCAUCAUUUAGCUUCGCUCUUAUUAAAAUCAUUUGCUGUUUGUCAGGGGUGGAGCUGUCACACGAAAGCACAUGUCACCUCAAAAGGUAGAAGUUUAUUCUGGAGCCAACUAUGAACUAUCCUGGUCCAGAAACACAGUUUUAGGACACCGCAAAUUCAAUGUUUUAACGUGAAAGCAGUUUCAGUACAUUUGUAUAGCAGCAGAACAAAGAGAGCCAUAA